rnacentral:rRNA from 1 species
UGAUCCUGGCUCAGAUUGAACGCUGGCGGCAUGCCUUACACAUGCAAGUCGAACGGCAGCAUGAUCUAGCUUGCUAGAUUGAUGGCGAGUGGCGAACGGGGUGAGUAAUACAUCGGAACGUGCCCUGUAGUGGGGGAGUAACUAGUCGAAAGAUUAGCUAAUACCGCAUACGACCUGAGGGUGAAAGUGGGGACCGCAAGGCCUCAUGGACUAUAGGAGCGGCCGAUGU